rnacentral:rRNA from 1 species
GAUCCUGGCUCAGAAUCAACGCUGGCGGCGUGCCUAACACAUGCAAGUCGAACGCGAAAGGGGAGCAAUCCCUGAGUAGAGUGGCAAACGGGUGAGUAACACGUGGGUGACCUGCCUUCGAGUGGGGGAUAACGUCCCGAAAGGGACGCUAAUACCGCAUGACAUCCUGCUCUUGGAAGAGCGGAGAUCAAAGCCGGGGAUCGCAAGACCUGGCGCUUGAAGAGGGGCCCGCGCCUGAUUAGCUAGUUGGUAGGGUAACGGCCUACCAAGGCAACGAUCAGUAUCCGGCCUGAGAGGGCGGACGGACACACUGGGACUGAGACACGGCCCAGACUCCUACGGGAGGCAGCAGUGGGGAAUUGUUCGCAAUGGGCGCAAGCCUGACGACGCAACGCCGCGUGGAGGACGAAGAUCUUCGGGUCGUAAACUCCUGUCGAGUGGGAAGAAUGGAUCAGGGGUGAAUAACCUCUGGUAUUGACGGUACCACUAAAGGGAGCCCCGGCUAACUCCGUGCCAGCAGCCGCGGUAAUACGGGGGGGGCAAGCGUUGUUCGGAAUUACUGGGCGUAAAGGGCUCGUAGGCGGCCAACUAAGUCGGACGUGAAAUCCCCAGGCUCAACCUGGGAACUGCGUCCGAUACUGGAUGGCUUGAAUUCGGGAGAGGGAUGCAGAAUUCCAGGUGUAGCGGUGA